UACAGAGGUCUCAAGCGUUGUUCGGAUUCAUUGGGCGUAAAGGGUGCGUAGGCGGUGAGGUAAGUCGGAUGUGAAAUCCCUCGGCUUAACCAAGGAAGUGCAUCCGAAACUGCAGAGCUUGAGUACUUAAGAGGAUCGCGGAAUUCCCGGUGUAGAGGUGAAAUUCGUAGAUAUCGGGAGGAACACCAGUGGCGAAGGCGGCGAUCUGGGAAGAUACUGACGCUGAGGUGCGAAAGCGUGGGGAGCAAACAGG
rnacentral:rRNA from 1 species